AUCUAGUCUGCUCUAUGUAUCUAUGGCCGGAACGUCUGGUAGCAUCUCUGGCUGCUGUUGACCUGGUUUUUGGAGUAAAACACGGUGGAAGCUGAAUUAGUGAGGAUGACUCCUGCUCCUGUCAUCUCUAAGCUCCUCACACAUCUUUACCUGCACAUGAGGAAAAUCACUCCUGUAGAAUGCAGAUGUUCAGAGGGAGAUGAUGCCACAUCUGGUCCAGCUGAUGGAAGGUCUUGAAGUUCUCUGACUGGCCUCGACUGAAGAUGGUCGUCUCACUGGAUUUAAGGUUCAGAUGCUCAGUAACAAACUCCACCAAUGAGCCAACAGGGAAGCUGUAGGUUUAUUAAAUGUUGCUAUGAAGGUUUCGCUGUUUUUCUUUGUGAAUGCAAUGAGCUCCAACUGAAAGUUGAAUUAGAACUUAGAAGUAAAUCCUUCCAUCUGAAAGGAUUUAGUUGCAUUAAUAACCUCAUAACAUUCUAAUUUUUAUUCCAGGCUUGGUUGGAAAUAGAAUCUCUGUAUUGAUUCAGGUAAAAACUGAACUUCACAGCAUGUUGGAGCAAAACAACCAGAUGAAAACUGUGAUGGUGUUGGAUUGUCAGACCGUAAUGUUGCAGCUCAAAGCAGCUUUUCUAGCUCAGUUCAUUCUGACAUUCAGCUAUGAAUCAACACAGCAGAUGGUGAUCCAUGCUGUGGAAGUCUCACAUCUCCUGAUUUAAUGGAGCUGCUUUACACUUUUUACACUGUUUAUUCACC
ensembl:lncRNA